AUUGAACGCUGGCGGCAGGCCUAACACAUGCAAGUCGAGCGGAUGAAGAGAGCUUGCUCUCUGAUUUAGCGGCGGUCGGGUGAGUAAUGCCUAGCAAUCUGCCUGGUAGUGGGGGAUAACGUUCCGAAAGGAACGCUAAUACCGCAUACGUCCUACGGGAGAAAGCAGGGGACCUUCGGGCCUUGCGCUAUCAGAUGAGCCUAGGUCGGAUUAGCUAGUUGGGGAGGUAAUGGCUCACCAAGGCGACGAUCCGUAACUGGUCUGAGAGGAUGAUCAGUCACACUGGAACUGAGACACGGUCCAGACUCCUACGGGAGGCAGCAGUGGGGAAUAUUGGACAAUGGGCGAAAGCCUGAUCCAGCCAUGCCGCGUGUGUGAAGAAGGUCUUCGGAUUGUAAAGCACUUUAAGUUGGGAGGAAGGGCAGUAAGUUAAUACCUUGCUGUUUUGACGUUACCGACAGAAUAAGCACCGGCUAACUUCGUGCCAGCAGCCGCAGUAACAC
rnacentral:rRNA from 1 species